GUGACAGAAGAGUGUGAGCACCUAUGGUCCUCAUGCAAAUGGUUAUUUUUUUAUGCAUGAAGCUAUGUGUGCUCGCUCUCUAUCUGUCAU
rnacentral:pre_miRNA from 2 species